CAACUCGCCUGCAUGAAGUCGGAAUUGCUAGUAAUCGCAGAUCAGCAUGCUGCGGUGAAUACGUUCCCGGGCCUUGUACACACCGCCCGUCACACCAUGGGAGUCGGUAACACCCAAAGUUGGUAGCCCUAACCGCAAGGAGGGCGCCGCCUAAGGUGGGAUUGAUGACUGGGGUGAAGUCGUAACAAGGUAUC
rnacentral:rRNA from 1 species